rnacentral:miRNA from 1 species
AGAGUUGAGUCUGGACAUCA